UACGGUCGCAUCAAUUUGAAACACCGGUUCCUGUACGAUCAUCGAAGUUAAGCAUCGCCUUGGUCUGUACCCAGGUGGGUGACCGCCUGGGAAUAAUAGGUGUCGUAAG